rnacentral:misc_RNA from 1 species
AGAAACUGCAGCUUCACGGCAACGUGCGCGCGUUGUAUCUCAAGAUCUUGAUCUUACGUUUGCUAAACUCCUACAACGGUUGCCGCGAUGAAAUACGACGCAGUCGACCAGGGAAGCUUUAGUUAUAACGGCCUGGACAAAUUACGACUGGCGCGUGACUAAAAUGGUCACGCCGGACGAAUUGUCGAUCGUUAACACCUCCGUGCCAGCGAGCGCGCCGGCAUUAUUUGCAUGAGGUAUCGAUCGAUGCACUGGCGAAAUUUGCGAAUUUUUUAAUAUCAGUGUGUAAAACUUUCACUUUUCACUAAACUCGUAAAGUUUGUUUCGAAAUCGAUUGCUCGCGAAUAAAAGUCAAAAAGGAGUAAAAUCGAU